rnacentral:rRNA from 1 species
GUAAAGAGCUCGUAGGUGGUUUGUCGCGUUGUUCGUGAAAUCUCACGGCUUAACUGUGAGCGUGCGGGCGAUACGGGCAGACUUGAGUACUGCAGGGGAGACUGGAAUUCCUGGUGUAGCGGUGGAAUGCGCAGAUAUCAGGAGGAACACCGGUGGCGAAGGCGGGCCUCUGGGCAGUAACUGACGCUGAGGAGCGAAAGCGUGGGGAGCGAACAGGAUUAGAUACCCUGGUAGUCCACGCCGUAAACGGUGGGUACUAGGUGUGGGUUUCCUUCCUUGGGAUCCGUGCCGUAGCUAACGCAUGAAGUACCCCGCCUGGGGAGUACGGCCGCAAGGCUAAAACUUCAAAGAAAUUGACGGGGGCCCGCACAAGCGGCGGAGCAUGUGGAUUAAUUCGAUGCAACGCGAAGAACCUUACCUGGGUUUGACAUGCACAGGACGCCGGCAGAGAUGUCGGUUCCCUUGUGGCCUGUGUGCAGGUGGUGCAUGGCUGUCGUCAGCUCGUGUCGUGAGAUGUUGGGUUAAGUCCCGCAACGAGCGCAACCCUUGUCUCAUGUUGCCAGCGGGUAAUGCCGGGGACUCGUGAGAGACUGCCGGGGUCAACUCGGAGGAAGGUGGGGAUGACGUCAAGUCAUCAUGCCCCUUAUGUCCAGGGCUUCACACAUGCUACAAUGGCCGGUACAAAGGGCUGCGAUGCCGCGAGGUUAAGCGAAUCCUUUUAAAGCCGGUCUCAGUUCGGAUCGGGGUCUGCAACUCGACCCCGUGAAGUCGGAGUC